CGUAGGCCUGGAAGGAAUUGGAACAGUCCUCUAGAAUUUCCUCAGGGGUGUUAGUGACAGGGUAAGAGGGCGUCUGCCUCAGCAAGAACAGAGCUGAGGAACUCUGAGGUCCCUCUGUCACUGCAGAAUACCCAGGAGGCAGCGGUGGAGAGGACAAGAACAGCCAGGAGCCCCGACCAGCACGGAAUGCUGUGGCCAAGGCAGAGCUGGACAAGCUGGGAUGAUCAGGAGACCCACGGAAUUAUAAGGAAAAGCCAGCUGGGGAAAGAGUCUCUUUCGGAUAAAAGGAGGGGAGGCAGCAGAGACCCAGAUUUUGAGAUCCUUCCUCAGUGGCACUGAAAGAGGCAGGGUGCUGCCAUGGCCCCAGAGAUGGGCAUGGGGAAAGAGCAAGGAGUCCAUGGAAAUUCUGCUUGUUAGUGAUGGUGAACUGGAGUGGCCUGGAUAUUUGAAUCGGCACCCUGGGUUUUUCAGCAGAUACCGGGGUUUUUCAGGGUGUGAAACCUGAGUCAGGGAGGCUGAAUACCUUGGCCAAAGUCACACAACAGAGCAAGGGAUGGAGUCCGGAUUGUGAGCCUGUAAGGUACAGUGUUGGGAAAUAAAUUUGUAAAAAUCGGCCAGGGCCAGUUGGGGAGGCUCUGAGAGGCCAGAUUAAGGAACUUGGGGCAUUGUUGUCUUUUGGGCAGCAGGGAGCCACUAAAUGGGAAACACAGGCAGAGUCUGCUCCUCCUUCCCCCCUCCAAUGAAGUUUUACUUGCUUUUUUAUUAAAAAAAUUUUUUUUAAAUCUUCAUUUAUCCCUGAGAGAGAGACAGAACAUGAGCUGGGGAGGAACAGAGAGAAAGGGAGACACAGAAUCCGACGCAGGCUCCAGGCUCCGAGCUGUCAGCACAGAGCCCGACGCGAGGCUCGAACCCACAAACCAUGGGAUCGUGACCUGAGCCGGAGUCGGCCGCCCAACCGACUGAGCCACCCAGGGGCCCCUAAAAUGGAUAUUUUAUUCGGCCUCUCUGGAGAGAAGAGUGUUCCUAAAACAAAACCUCGGAUGACAUUCACGGAUGUCCAGCUCAUCAGGCAUGCUGCCGAGGGACUGACUUCCCAACGUCCUCCCAGGUGGUCAUCACUGACGCUGCAGGGUCGGCCGGACUCCUCGCUGGCCUCACACGUCAGAGCAGAGGUGGCCGUGAGGGAUCUGGGAGCUUGCCUGGACCUGUGGUCGAGGAGUGAUGUGCACGCGGUCAUGGGUGUGACAGAACUGGCUGAGACGUGUCCUUCACUGGAGAUGUGGCUUCAUAUCUGUGCCCUCCUGCCCCCAUCACAUGUGAUGGAGCGUAUCUGUAGAUUGCUUUAUACUUGAGAAGGAUGCAACGCAUUGACGAGCUCACUGGAUUUUCACACGGCAACUCCAGGAAACCCAAGCUCUUAUCUGAAAUGUAUACGUCAGAGCACUGAGCACUGGUGGGUGUCUCUUGGACAAAUCCCAGUGUACUAUCCUUCUUCCCUGCAAACGUGGGAUCGGGUAAAACUGGAUUUUAAAGACUGUUGAGUCAGGCACGACAGGGAGCGAUCUUUAGGAACACCCCAGGGUGUGCUGCUUAGCCGAGGGGCUGUAUGCUGGAUCAAAUGCCAUUUGUCCUUCCAGCCCCAUUCUCUUCUCUUCUUUGCCCUGUGCCCUGGGAAGUUGAUCCUGAAAGACUGCUUCUAUGGGUUCCAUUGCCCUGUGGCUUCUUCUGGUUGGAAUCAGACAAUGGCCAGCACCGGUAGGAGAUUGGGGUGGCAGGAGGGGGGCAUCGCAGGGUAUUCUCCCAGCCAGGAGACCAUGGCUAAGUUCAGGGAGCCUUGCUCCUGUGGACCCCAGGGAGUUGCAAUACUCCUUGUUGGUUUCCUUACACUCGGCUCGCAUCUUUAAGAAGAGCCCCUUUUUGCACUCCCCGCCCCCGUUGCAGAUAUCAUGUACUACCUGAAUCUGCUGGGAGCUCAUACAAUUCACUAUGCAGGUAGGGAGCGGACUUGAAAAAGUGGUUUGUCACAUGCAUUGAAGAGAGUAUUGAGUGUAGGCAUCUGCUCUUGAUCGGCAGGCUGAGUAAGGACCGGCUGUGUCUCUCCCGGCACUAAUUGGUGGACUUGAAUCAUCUCUCCUGACAGAUAGCUUCUUUUCCUCCAGUUCCUGCCCCGUCAGGAAUUUUCCACAUGGUAGGAUUUCUAGAUAAUGAAAUGUCCACUUGAGAGGCUCUGACUCUGAAAGAGUGGCCCAGGGGCCAGUGGAGUUUCUCCUGGUGCCGGCGGGGGCCGUUUUGUGCCUUGUGUCCAGUGGGGUGCCAGUGCCAGUGAUGGUUUCCGGGGUCCAGAAGGGUCCACAUGGUCCCUGCCACAACAAAACUCCUGGUUGGCGAGAAGGCUGAACUUAGAGCCCAUUCAAUUCUGUACAAGUGCUACUGUUCGUCGAUAGCUUUGUAAAGUACGUGUGAGGAUUAUCAUAGCAAACCCUGACCAAAGCAGAGAAAGGAGAAAAAUCCACGAAGAGUUCUGGGUCUGAUGCAGCUGUGCUCUGAUUUCCAGGUCAGGAGUGGCACUAUCUGUUUCUUGAAGGGAGUGGACGGUUAAUCCUGCAGCUCUGUGCUCUGACCAGAAUCUGUCAUUUGUAUCAGGCUGAUGGCUAAACAAGGCCCCUGUGGGUUGGUUUCUCCUAGGUCCACGUCCCUCUGUGCUGUGUCCUCACUGCUCCUCCCACCCACUGGUGGGGGGUUCAUUUCUCCACCCUCUGGAAUCUAGGUUGGACCUGUGAGUUGCUUUGGCUGGUAGAAUGCGGCAGAACUGACAUUCUGAAAUUUAAGAAGCUUUUUAAGAGAGCUUUUGCUUUCAACUUGGAGAGAAACAUACUUGCCGUGUAAACAGCCCAGAGUAGCCAUAGAGAGAGAGGUCACAAGGAAGAAAAAAAGAGAUUUCGGGGAGCAGAGAGGAGUGGUCCCUAACGAGCCCUGCCAGAAUUUCUGAUCUUUAGUAUCAGGAGCGAGUGGAAUGAUUGUCUUUUUCUGCCACUAAGAUUUGGGGUGAUUUAUUAGGCAGCAAUCAAAAAUGGAUAC